UACAGAGGUCUCAAGCGUUGUUCGGAUUCAUUGGGCGUAAAGGGUGCGUAGGCGGCGCGGUAAGUCGGGUGUGAAAUCUCGGAGCUUAACUCCGAAACUGCAUUCGAUACUGCCGUGCUUGAGGACUGGAGAGGAGAAUGGAAUUCCCGGUGUAGCGGUGAAAUGCGCAGAUAUCGGGAAGAACACCCGUGGCGAAGGGCGGUUCUCUGGGACGGUACUGACGCUGAGACGCGAAAGCGUGGGGAGCGAACAGG
rnacentral:rRNA from 1 species